AACCAAUGAUCUUUCUUGGAAAGAUCUUUUCCAAGAAAGAUCGUAAUUGUUACGUCUAUGGCCACCUUAAGGCUUUGCUAGGCAUUGUGGGGUUCAACAUUAUGGAGUCCUUUGUUAACUGGGAGCUUCAUCAGCUCUAAACUGCAGUUGUAGAUACAACAAAGAAUUACAAAGUGAAGCACUGCACAUACAUAUAUAUGAGGAGUAUUUUAAAAAAUAUAUACAUUGUUAAGAUGACAAUCAUGCAAUGCAAAAUCUAUUUUUAUUGUGUGUUUACAUUGAUCAUGACUGCCAGCCUUACUGAUCUCUUGGCACUGCUAUAAGUAAAAUAGAAUUUAUGUACAUUCUUGCUGGAGACUAAAUAUUUAUUACUGUCAUUGCUGCUUCUCUUUUGUGCAUUAUACAUUGGACUGUGUAUGGACAUUGGUUGCUACAGCAUUCUUCUUCUGCCUUUGUACAUCAAGCUCUGCCAUUAUAACAGAUCUACAUAUAACCAGUUUUGGUUAAUAGGGUUAUCACUCCCCAUUGUCAGUGCAUGCUCAUGUGGUGGUCACUUUUCAGCCAUAUAGUAACGUUGUCUGGAACUCUCUUCUUUGACGUGUUCUGGAGCCACAAACAGAAGCAGCCUUUGAAGGAGCAGAUUUAAUGUAUUUUCAUGGGACUCAAAGGGCUUAGUUAGGAAAAUAAAAGUUCUGGCAGCACAAAAACAAUUCCUAUGAGUCACUCUAAAAUUCCUAGCUGCCUUUAUGUAGUGGGGCAGUGGAAUUCUAUGGACAGAAAAUUGUCCUCUAGCCUUUGACCUUGGGCUGGCAAAGCCAAUCUGGACCUGCUGUAGAUGCAGUCAAAGCCUGCGAGAAGAACAGGGUGCCAUACAGAAAUUACAAAAAAAGGAUUAAUCCAUUGCACCCUGUUUUAAUGUAUCUGUAAAAAUGUGUGUGCUUAUAGCAAUCUGGCCACUUUCUAAGGUGCUUAUAUUGGUGCUUAAAUAUGUGUGUUUGCAAAGGAAUACUGAAAGUGCAUGAGACAAUGAUUGUGACUGCUCAGAAAAGGUUUUUUUACACAUCAGUGUGUAAAAAAAAAACGACCACAUCUCAAUUUAUGGCAGCUCUUUUUAAUGCUUAAUGUGUUGAACCUAUAUGCCAUUGGAAAUAAAAAAAAAAUUAUUUGAAGUAAA